rnacentral:rRNA from 1 species
UACGGAGGGGGCGAGCGUUGUUCGGAAUCACUGGGCGUAAAGCGCGCGUAGGCGGCUUUGCAAGUGCGGCGUGAAAGUCCUGGGCUCAACCUGGGGACGGCGCUGCGGACUGCAUGGCUGGAGUCCGGAAGAGGGUGGUGGAAUUCCGAGUGUAGAGGUGAAAUUCGUAGAUAUUCGGAAGAACACCAGUGGCGAAGGCGACUCACUGGACAUGUAUUGACGCUGAGGUACGAAAGCGUGGGGAGCAAACAGG